rnacentral:lncRNA from 1 species
AAAGCUGCCCAACUAGAAACCCCAAAAGGCAAGAGAACUACGAUACCCACAAUUCAGGCUCCUCACCCGAAACCAGAAGAGGGCGUAUGGCUAGAGUUUCACCCUAAGAAGAAAGGGGAAGCAGGUGGAAAAGCAAUUAAAAAAAAAUCAGCAUCUCUCUCUAGCCUAUUAUCUCCUGUUAGACACAGCCCAGAAAAUGAAUAGAGACAAGUCCUGGCUGGGUCUGGGUUCAGAAACAUAAUAGAAGGAUUCAUCUAAAGAUAACACGCAAGGAAAUACGGGCCAACUCUUCACAUGAGCACAAGAUAUUUCCAUGCUAGCCUUUUGCAAGUAACAACAGAGAGAGCUCUGUGCAGUUUUCACUGGAAUGCCUAUGGAUUGCUUGUGUCAUAACUGUAAUCUAAAGAGUUGUCCAUUUGUUGAUUCCUUUGUGUUUGUAUUGGUAGAAUUGCCACUAUCAAACCAAGAUCUUUAGCUGUCUUUGUAUCAACUUCUUUGGAGCUUAUGUGAUUUUCCAGAAAAUUUCCAAGGCAUAGUUUUGUCCCUAAGUCCCAUGAAUAUGUAAUAUUUUGUGUCUCUCUAUUAAAAUAGCACUUUUUGUGCAUUCC